rnacentral:rRNA from 1 species
ACCCGUUGAUCCUGCGGGAGGUUGCUGCUAUCGGGAUUCGACUAAGCCAUGCAAGUCUAGGGGGCCUUCGGGUCACCGGCAGAAGGCUCAGUAACACGUCGAUAAUCUGCCCUAUGGUCUGGCAUAACCUUGGAAAACUGAGGCUAACACCGGAUAGGGGAUUAUAUCUGGAAUGAUUUAUCCUUUAAAAGCAAUGCCAUAGGAUGAGUCGGCGGCUGAUUAGGUUGUUGGCGGGGUAAUGGCCCACCAAGCCUGAGAUCAGUAGGGGCCCUGAGAGGGGUAGCCCCGAGAAGAGCACUGAGAUACUGGCUCUAGCCCUACGGGGUGCAGCAGGCGCGAAACCUUUACAAUGCACGAAAGUGUGAUAAGGGAAUCCCGAGUGCCUACACUCUGUGUAGGCUUUUGCUAAGAGUAAAUACCUUAGCGAAUAAGUGGUGGGUAAGACUGGUGCCAGCCGCCGCGGCAACACCAGCGCCACGAGUGGCAACCAUUUUUACUGGGCCUAAAGCGUCCGUAGCCGGUCCAGUCAGUCUUUUGUGAAAUCAUUGGGCUUAACCCAAUGGCGUGCAGGAGAUACUGCUGGGCUUGGAACCGGGAGGAGUCGGAGGUAUUCUUGGGGGAACGGUAAAAUGUUAUAAUCCCAAGAGGACCACCUGUGGCGAAGGCGUCCGACUAGAACGGAUUCGACGGUGAGGGACGAAAGCCAGGGGAGCAAAACGGAUUAGAUACCCGAGUAGUCCUGGCUGUAAACUCUGCGAGCUAGGUGUUGCAUAUUCUUCGGAGUAUGCAGUGUCGGAGCGAAGGUGUUAAGCUCGCCGCCUGGGAAGUAUAGUCGCAAGACCGAAACUUAAAGGAAUUGGCGGGGGAGCACUACAAGGGGUGCGGCGUGCGGUUUAAUCUAACUUAACGCAGAAAAUCUCACCAGAGGCGACGGCAGGAUGAAAGUCAUGCUGAAGACAUUACUUGACGAGCCGAGAGGUAGUGCAUGGCCGUCGUCAGCUCGUGCUGUAAGGUGUCCUGUUAAGUCAGGCAACGAGCGAGACCUGUAUCCACAAUUGCUAACGAACUCUGGGAUCGAGCACAUUGUGGGGACUGCCCUCGAAAGGGGGAGGAAGGUGCAGGCAACGAUAGGUCUGUAUGCUCCGAAUCCUCUGGGCUACACGCGCGCAACAAUGGUAGGGACAAUGGGAUGCAACACCGAAAGGUGAAGCUAAACCUCGAAACCCUAUCCAAGUCCAGAUUGAGGAUUGUAACCCAUCCUCAUGACGAUGGAAUCCCUAGUAAUUGGAUCUCAUCACGAUCCAGUGAAUAUGUCCCUGCUCCUUGCACACACCGCCCGUCAAACCAACCGAGCAGGGUUUAGAUGAGGCUCAAUUUCUUGAUUAAGUCGAAUCUAAGCUCAGUGAGGUGGGUUAAGUCGUCACAAGGUA